rnacentral:rRNA from 1 species
AUUGAACGCUGGCGGCAUGCCUUACACAUGCAAGUCGAACGGUAACAGGUCUUCGGAUGCUGACGAGUGGCGAACGGGUGAGUAAUGCAUCGGAACGAGCCCAGUAGUGGGGGAUAGCCCGGCGAAAGCCGGAUUAAUACCGCACACGACCUGAGGGUGAAAGGGGGGGAUCGCAAGACCUCUCGCUAUUGGAGCGGCCGAUGUCAGAUUAGCUAGUUGGUGGGGUAAAGGCCUACCAAGGCAACGAUCUGUAGUUGGUCUGAGAGGACGACCAGCCACACUGGGACUGAGACACGGCCCAGACUCCUACGGGAGGCAGCAGUGGGGAAUUUUGGACAAUGGGCGCAAGCCUGAUCCAGCAAUGCCGCGUGCAGGAAGAAGGCCUUCGGGUUGUAAACUGCUUUUGUACGGAACGAAACGGUCUGGGUUAAUACCCUGGCUAAUGACGGUACCGUAAGAAUAAGCACCGGCUAACUACGUGCCAGCCGCCGCGGUAACAC